rnacentral:rRNA from 1 species
CCCUUAGAUGUCCGGGGCUGCACGCGCGCUACAAUGGUCUUCGCAAACGGAUGCAUUCUCGAAGGAGAAUGCCAAUCUUGGAAUCUAUGCCUUGGUCGGGACAGUUGCUUGCAAUUUUUCGACUCGAACCAGGAAUUCCUUGUAAUCGUGAUUCAUCACGUCACGAUGAAUACGUCCCUGCCCUUUGUACACACCGCCCGUCGCUCCUACCGAUCGAAGAGUUAGGUGAAUUGUUUUGAUCGAUAAGAUUUGACUAUGGUCAACUCUCGUUGUGAAAUUCUGUGAAUCUGACUGUUUAGAGGAAGGAAAAGUCGUAACA